GCCUGGCGUUGGUAGCCCAGGUGAAAGUGAGUAGGCUGAAGAGUUAGGUAAAUCCGGCUCUUUAAGGUCGAGACACGAGACGAGCUCCCAAGGGAGUGAAGUUGUUGAUGCCCUGCUUCCAGGAAAAGCUUCUAAACGUAUGAUUAUAUGAACCGUACCCCAAACCGACACAGGUGGUCAGGUAGAGAAUACUAAGGCGCUUGAGAGAACUCGGGUGAAGGAACUCGGCAAAAUAGUACCGUAACUUCGGGAGAAGGUACGCCACCGGUGGUGAACGCUUUACGCGGUAAGCUAUUGGUGGCCGCAGUGACCAGGUGGCUGGGACUGUUUAUUAAAAACACAGCACUCUGCAAACUCGAAAGAGGACGUAUAGGGUGUGACACCUGCCCGGUGCCGGAAGGUUAAUUGAUGGGAUUAGCGUAAGCGAAGUUCUUGAUCGAAGCCCCGGUAAACGGCGGCCGUAACUAUAACGGUCCUAAGGUAGCGAAAUUCCUUGUCGGGUAAGUUCCGACCUGCACGAAUGGUGUAACCAUGGCCACGCUGUCUCCACCCGAGACUCAGUGAAAUUGAAAUCGCAGUGAAGAUGCUGUGUACCCGCACCUAGACGGAAAGACCCCGUGAACCUUUACUACAGCUUGGCACUGAACAUUGAACCUACUUGUGUAGGAUAGGUGGGAGGCUUUGAAUUGCAGACGCCAGUUUGCAUGGAGCCGUCCUUGAAAUACCACCCUGGUAUGUUUGAUGUUCUAACAUAGGUCCCUUAUCGGGAUUGUGGACAGUGUCUGGUGGGUAGUUUGACUGGGGCGGUCUCCUCCCAAAUAGUAACGGAGGAGCACGAAGGUUAGCUAAUCACGGUCGGACAUCGUGAGGUUAGUGCAAUGGCAUAAGCUAGCUUAACUGCGAGACAGACACGUCGAGCAGGUACGAAAGUAGGUCAUAGUGAUCCGGUGGUUCUGUAUGGAAGGGCCAUCGCUCAACGGAUAAAAGGUACUCCGGGGAUAACAGGCUGAUACCGCCCAAGAGUUCAUAUCGACGGCGGUGUUUGGCACCUCGAUGUCGGCUCAUCACAUCCUGGGGCUGAAGUCGGUCCCAAGGGUAUGGCUGUUCGCCAUUUAAAGUGGUACGCGAGCUGGGUUUAGAACGUCGUGAGACAGUUCGGUCCCUAUCUGGUGUGGGCGUUGGAUGAUUGAGGGGAGCUGCUCCUAGUACGAGAGGACCGGAGUGGACGAACCGCUGGUGUUCGGGUUGUGAUGCCAAUUGCAUUGCCCGGUAGCUACGUUCGGAAUCGAUAACCGCUGAAAGCAUCUAAGCGGGAAGCGAGCCCCGAGAUGAGUCAUCCCUGACUUUUAAAGUCCGGAAGGGUUGUCUAAGACUAAGACGUUGAUAGGCAGGGUGUGGAAGCGUUGUAAGGCGUUAAGCUAACCUGUACUAAUUGCCCGAGAGGCUUAACCAU
rnacentral:rRNA from 1 species